rnacentral:rRNA from 1 species
GACGAACGCUGGCGGCGUGCCUAACACAUGCAAGUCGAACGGGGUGAGAUCCUUCGGGGUUUCACUUAGUGGCGAACGGGUGAGUAACGCGUGAGAAACCUGCCUUUCAGUGGGGGACAACAGUUGGAAACGACUGCUAAUACCGCAUAACGUAUAUUGGGGGCAUCCUUGAUAUACCAAAGCUUUAUGUGCUGAAAGAUGGUCUCGCGUCUGAUUAGCUAGAUGGCGGGUAACGGCCCACCAUGGCGACGAUCAGUAGCCGGACUGAGAGGUUGACCGGCCACAUUGGGACUGAGAUACGGCCCAGACUCCUACGGGAGGCAGCAGUGGGGAAUAUUGCACAAUGGGCGAAAGCCUGAUGCAGCAACGCCGCGUGAGGGAAGACGGCCUUCGGUUGUAACCGUACUGUCCUCAGUGACG